AUGUACGAUAAUGUUGUGACAAGUGUUCGAACAAGUGAUGUCGACACCUAUGACUUCCCGAUUAAGAUAGGACUGCAUCAGGGGUCAGCUUUGAGCUCUUAUCUUUUUGCAUUGGUGAUGGAUGAGGUCACAAGGGAUAUACGAGGAGAUAUCCCAUGGUGUAUGCUCUUUGCGGAUGAUGUGGUGCUAGUUGACGAUAGUCGGACGGGGGUAAAUAGGAAGUUAGAGUUAUGGAGACAAACCUUGGAAUCGAAAGGGUUUAGGCUUAGUAGAACUAAAACCGAGUACAUGAUGUGCGGUUUCAGUACUACUAGGUGUGAGGAGGAGGAGGUUAGCUUUGAUGGCCAGGUGGUACCUCGGAAGGACACCUUUCGGUAUUUGGGGUCAAUGUUGCAGGAGGAUGGGGUAUUGAUGAAGAUGUGA
rnacentral:rRNA from 1 species